GCAAGUCGCACGGACCUUUCGGGGUGAGUGGCGGACGGGUGAGUAUCGCGUAGGGAUCUAUCCAUGGGUGGGGGAUAACAUCGGGAAACUGGUGCUAAUACCGCAUGAUACCUGAGGGUCAAAGGCGCAAGUCGCCUGUGGAGGAGCCUGCGUUAGAUUAGCUUGUUGGUGGGGUAAAGGCCUACCAAGGCGAUGAUCGAUAGCUGGUCUGAGAGGAUGAUCAGCCACACUGGGACUGAGACACGGCCCAGACUCCUACGGGAGGCAGCAGUGGGGAAUAUUGGACAAUGGGCGAAAGCCUGAUCAGCAAUGCCGCGUGUGUGAAGAAGGUCUUCGGAUUGUAAAGCACUUUCGACGGGGACGAUGAUGACGGUACCCGUAGAAGAAGCCCCGGCUAACUUCGUGCCAGCAGCCGCGGUAAUACGAAGGGGGCUAGCGUUGCUCGGAAUGACUGGGCGUAAAGGGCGCGUAGGCGGUUUACACAGUCAGAUGUGAAAUUCCAGGGCUUAACCUUGGGGCUGCAUUUGAUACGUGUAGACUAGAGUGUGAGAGAGGGUUGUGGAAUUCCCAGUGUAGAGGUGAAAUUCGUAGAUAUUGGGAAGAACACCGGUGGCGAAGGCGGCAACCUGGCUCAUUACUGACGCUGAGGCGCGAAAGCGAGGGGAGCAAACAGGAUUAGAUACCCUGGUAGUCCACGCUGUAAACGAUGUGUGCUGGAUGUUGGGUAACUUAGUUACUCAGUGUCGAAGCUAACGCGCUAAGCACACCGCCUGGGGAGUAC
rnacentral:rRNA from 1 species